UACGAAGGGGGCUAGCGUUGUUCGGAAUUACUGGGCGUAAAGCGCACGUAGGCGGAUCGUUAAGUCGGGGGUGAAAUCCUGGAGCUCAACUCCAGAACUGCCUUCGAUACUGGCGAUCUUGAGUCCGGAAGAGGUGAGUGGAACUCCUAGUGUAGAGGUGGAAUUCGUAGAUAUUAGGAAGAACACCAGUGGCGAAGGCGGCUCACUGGUCCGGUACUGACGCUGAGGUGCGAAAGCGUGGGGAGCAAACAGG
rnacentral:rRNA from 1 species